rnacentral:rRNA from 1 species
UGAGGGUGAUCGGCCACAUUGGAACUGAGACACGGUCCAAACUCCUACGGGAGGCAGCAGUGGGGAAUAUUGCACAAUGGGGGAAACCCUGAUGCAGCAACGCCGCGUGAACGAAGAAGGCUCUUGGGUCGUAAAGUUCUGUUCUGAGGGAAGAAGAAAGUGACGGUACCUCAGGAGAAAGCCCCGGCUAACUACGUGCCAGCAGCCGCGGUAAUACGUAGGGGGCAAGCGUUGUCCGGAAUUAUUGGGCGUAAAGAGUACGUAGGCGGUCUGGUAAGCGCAAGGUGAAAGGCAUAGGCUCAACCAAUGUCAGCCUUGCGAACUGUCAGACUUGAGUGCAGGAGGGGAAAGUGGAAUUCCUAGUGUAGCGGUGAAAUGCGUAGAUAUUAGGAGGAACACCAGUGGCGAAGGCGACUUUCUGGACUGUAACUGACGCUGAGGUACGAAAGCGUGGGGAGCAAACAGGAUUAGAUACCCUGGUAGUCCACGCCGUAAACGAUGAGCACUAGGUGUCGGGGCCGCAGGGCUUCGGUGCCGCAGUUAACGCAUUAAGUGCUCCGCCUGGGGAGUACGCACGCAAGUGUGAAACUCAAAGGAAUUGACGGGGACCCGCACAAGCAGCGGAGCAUGUGGUUUAAUUCGAAGCAACGCGAAGAACCUUACCAGGACUUGACAUCCCUCUGACGUCCCUUUAAUCGGGGAUCUCUUCGGACAGAGGAGACAGGUGGUGCAUGGUUGUCGUCAGCUCGUGUCGUGAGAUGUUGGGUUAAGUCCCGCAACGAGCGCAACCCUUGUUGCUAGUUACUAACAUGUUAAGAUGAGGACUCUAGUGAGACUGCCGGGGAUAACUCGGAGGAAGGUGGGGAUGACGUCAAAUCAUCAUGCCCCUUAUGUUCUGGGCUACACACGUGCUACAAUGGCUGGUACAAAGAGAAGCGAGACCGCGAGGUGGAGCAAAACUCAAAAACCAGUCCCAGUUCGGACUGCAGGCUGAAACUCGCCUGCACGAAGUUGGAGUUGCUAGUAAUCGUGGAUCAGAAUGCCACGGUGAAUGCGUUCCCGGGUCUUGUACACACCGCCCGUCACACCAUGGAAGUUGGGGGUGCCCAAAGUCGGUCGAUAAAUAGACUGCCUAAGGCAAAACCAAUGACUGGGGUGAAGUCGUAACAAGGUAGCCGUAUCGAAGGUGCGGCUGGAUCA